AACAGUAUUAAAAUCCCUUCUUUGUCCCUUAAAAAUGGAAGUAAAAGUAAUGAGUAAGUAUUCCUGAUGACUAUGUGUUUUGUUGAAGAAUAACAGUGAGACACUUGAGUGCACUAAUGAAUUUUUCAAUGACAUCAUUCCAAGUGUGCAUGCUUCGUUGCAAUCUGAGAGAAAUCAGAAUGUCAAGAAUCGGGGCUUCCUGAGUUACGAUAAUUUGAUGUCUGUGCCCUUCUGGUCAUUAGGUGAAUUGAGCCCCUCAACCUUCCAUGCUGUUCACUGCUGUUUCAAGCAGUAACACCACAGUACCUCUUUUAUUUAGGAGUGAGGCAGAAUUUGUUUUCAUAACCCUGGCUUAAUUUUUGUAUCAUUCACUGCUGCUGGGAGAGAGCACUAGAAGUUUCUUGCCAUGUUGAACAGUUCUGGUCCUCUUAAUGCAGAGCAGAGAAUUUUGAAAGAGAAUCUGGUGACAGUAUUUCUCUUCCAUAAAGAAAAGUCAUUCAUUGGGCUGUUUGGCUUGAAAGAUUUUACACUUUCUUGAUUUUUUCAUUGUCAUCCAGUUACAGUUCCAUUGUGUCAAAACCAACAUAGUUGCUCUGAAUCAUUUACACCUUCCACUGUUCUCUUCAUCCUUCAUUUCUUUAUGUGUCUGGCUUUUCUCUUUGGCCCAAACUGGAUUGACUGUUUUUAAUGAUACAGGGACUGACAGUGGGAUAUGUGCUAUUGACAAUGCUUCUUUGUGACACAUUGUCCUGUGUUUGUUUGGAAAGCCUGGUACACGUUUUGUUUCUAUCCUACUUGCAAAUCGGGGAAAGGAAAAAUCUAUAAAGAACUUGAAAGGUGCUAAUUUAGUAAACACUUCAGAAGUUUCAGAAGUAAAUUCCCUCUAUUUCCUGCAGGAUUUCCAUUGUACACUUUAGCUUUGAAGAAAAACAAAUUUUUCAUAUCUUAGAAUAUUCGAUUUAUAUGUUAUCUACUGAGUGAUCUUCUUCUUGGGAAGAAGUCACUAGAGAGAAUGUUUUGCUCAGGUUCACCUCUCCCUUAAUGAAGUUCAUACCAGCGAAGUGAAAUUGAAGUCUGAAGAACAGGAAGUGAGAUCGAAGUCUGAAGGUACAGCCUGUGCAGACAGAAAAUGCUCAGCUUAAGGUACACAAGAAUCAGCUGCGACUGAAAGAAUGGGAGCUGGUGAAAGGGGAGAAGCAGCUGUCGGCCACAGAGGAGAAACUGAAAUUAGCUGGAAAAGAGCUGUGGAACUACAAGUGAGUUCAGCUCUUACCAGCAUCUCACACGACACCCAUUGUAUUACUUUGAAACUUUGUACAGUUAGACCCAAGUAGCACACAAAUAUACACAAAUAUUCAGGAGACAUUUAUUUAUAUAGACACUUCAAGAGAAAUGUGACGUUUUCCAGAUGUUAAAUUAAAAAUAUUAAUCUAAACAAGUUAAGUCACUAAAGAUUUCCUGAUCCCCGGUGCUGGCCAGGCUAUGUGGAAAUGUGGUUCCUGAACAUAUUUCUGGAGGUGCUGGACAUGAUUACAAACCUCAGGAAGCAGUUUGGUGGAGGAUGAAUCACAUUGACAAGUAUGACCAUCCCGUUUGAGAGACCCACUUGUUGUAACCAUGAGAAAUAUGAUGAGGAUACAAAGAAAAGGUUUGAACUUUACAAUGAAAGAUCCUCAUUGCAGAAUUAGGGAGCUGUCACCACAGUCAAGGAGACCGUGUCAAUGUGGAGCCCCACAGGCAUCAAAUAAUAAAUCCAAGAUGAUGUAGCGAUGGCUUUGAGCUUUCUACUCUCCUCCUCAUGUGAAAUGUGUCUUAUAUGAUUGGGUUGUGUGUAUAAGAGUUCAGUUACUAUACUGGGAACCUGGGCCAAUUAACAUCACCCUCAACAUGGUGCUUCAUCUGAUGAAAGCCAUUUCAUGCCCAGGAGAAGAGUAAAAGAAACACAAGAACAGCUGCAGCAGUCAGAGCUCACCUUCGGACACCAGGUAGCCUGCACUCUGCCCAGUAGUUCUUGAGUGCUUCAGCACCUAAUGCAGAUGAUCAUAAUGGGCCACUGAAUGUCUCCACAUGGGUUUUUAUUGAUGUGCUGACUCUUUCAGAUGGCUCUUGGUGAGAAGGCAGCUCAGGACAACUGGGGCUCAUGAUCAGGAGAGGGCGGUGGCAGAGCAGAGCAGGGAGGUGGCCUACUUGAAGUGCAGGUACAGGAUUUUGACAUAUUUAUUUUAAGGGUGCUGUGAGGUUUUUAAAAAGGCUAAACCGUUCGGUGUCCAGUGGAGGCCUGGGUGUGGUAACUCUUAGUGAAACUGAUUCAUCUCGAUCUUCAAGACUGGAAGUCAUCCAAAGACAGAGGCUUCCAGAGGAAUUCAGGAGGCACAAACCAAUGGCAAGAGGACCUGACAGGGAGAUCCCUCCAUGGAGAGAUAUGGAGCACAUUGUGAAAUGCAGUAGUUUAACUUCUGUGGCAACAUCCGCACAAUCGGCUUCUUGUUACCGUGGGUGUAAUUGUUUGGUCUCCUGCAAACAGUCCCAGGUGGUUACUAGAGGGCAAAGUUGUCUCACAGUGGUGACAGUACACUGUUUCCCUCAGAUGCCCCCAGCCAGCAGAGCUCUUUGGGUCUGUCCCUUGUGAGUGGUGUAGCUCACGCCCCUCCAAUGAUUGUGGGCCCCCCUGCAACCUCCCAGUUACACUUAACUGGAGAGUGGAUGCUAGAAUGGACAUGGGUCAGCCCCCCUUUCACCUUGAGACAAUGUUGAAGGCUGUUUCUUUUGUUUCACAUGAAUAACGUGAACAACAGCAUGAAUUGCAGGCUGUAUGUCCCAAUGAGCUUUCUUGAUUUGGCUUUUGGAUAAAUGCUCCAUAGAAAAUAUGCUUUCUAUAAAGAAAGCAGACAUUUCUUUCCUCUGUUUAGAGGUCUCUUUAUUCUUUGAAAGUUUUUUUUUUUGUAUUGUGAACUAUAGUACUCCAUUAGUAAAGUAAAUACUUGUGAAAUUUCACUCCUCUCAUAUUAUUUUAUUAGUGUAACUCUAAAGCUUUGCAGGUCAUUCCACACAUGGAAUUAACCUUUCCUUACCUCAUUACUAUAGCAUUAGUCUCUUCAAGGCAAUUUCUGUUCAUGAAUCCUGACAUAAUCCCUUGUCAGAUACAUAAGGCAGAUGAUGUGUACAGUAAACCACUUCAGAAAUCCCACCCAUGCCUUGUAGAAAAGGACAGUGUGCUUUCAUGCUGAUGUUUACCGACAUUAUCCUAACUAAGCCAUUCUUAUUUUCAUUUUUAAUCUGUGAUAAAUUGUCUUUUCCCAUGAUGUGUAUUAGGAAACCCUUUUAGUGUUGAUUUCCAAUGAAUUGAGCCCUGACAU